rfam:Cicer arietinum chromosome Ca7, whole genome shotgun sequence.
UAUGCAAAUGACGAUAAAAUAGACAGGGACAUCAGUACUCCUAAUUAGAGGAUGACGAUUUGUCGAUGGGAAUCUCUCUGAUGCAUA